rnacentral:rRNA from 1 species
UACGUAGGGGGCAAGCGUUGUCCGGAAUCAUUGGGCGUAAAGCGCGUGUAGGCGGUCCGGUAAGUCCGCUGUGAAAGUCGGGGGCUUAACCCUCGGAUGCCGGUGGAUACUGUCGGGCUUGAGUACGGAAGAGGCGAGUGGAAUUCCUGGUGUAGCGGUGAAAUGCGCAGAUAUCAGGAGGAACACCGGUGGCGAAGGCGGGUCUCUGGGCCGAUACUGACGCUGAGGAGCGAAAGCAUGGGUAGCGAACAGG